UAUUUAUCUAUCUAGUUCUUUUCUCCACAGGGAAAAAAAAAAAAAAAACCUAGAGCGUUCCCCUUCAUCGGGCCGGAUCUCGGCGCUGCUCCUCAAUGUGUUUUCAGACCGAAGGCUCAUUAAGCUUGCGGCUAUAGAACAAAAUCCAAGACCUUUCAAUACUUUUGUCUAAAGAUAGGAAAUUCUAGAGGCACUGUCGAAACGUCGGGAAUUGGAUUGGUUUGUCUAUCAAGUUAAUAGACUCGGGAUUAGGUGGAAUUGAGGAUUGUCAAAUUCUUAGAACGAAGCAAAGAAUAAUUCGAGAUUGUUAUUGUCUUCUAGGCGAAUGUUAAAUAAAGUCUUUAAUGUUUAGAUGAUGAAUUGAGAGUUUGUAAUAAUGAGAUUCUUUCUUUAGGUUGAGAUUUAUUUGGAGUUGAGGAAUAUUUAUUUUUAUCAAGUUAAUUGGCUUAGUUGACUUUUGGGAUUAUAGAGAAUAUUUGUUGUUGGUUUUAGUUCAAUGAAGAGAUUUGUUUUAGUGUUCUUUUAA